UAGGGAAUCUUCCGCAAUGGACGCAAGUCUGACGGAGCAACGCCGCGUGAGUGAAGAAGGAUUUCGGUUCGUAAAACUCUGUUGUUAGAGAAGAACAGCGCAUAGAGUAACUGUUAUGCGUGUGACGGUAUCUAACCAGAAAGCCACGGCUAACUACGUGCCAGCAGCCGCGGUAAUACGUAGGUGGCAAGCGUUGUCCGGAUUUAUUGGGCGUAAAGCGAGCGCAGGCGGUCAAUUAAGUCUGAUGUGAAAGCCCCCGGCUCAACCGGGGAGGGUCAUUGGAAACUGGUUGACUUGAGUGCAGAAGAGGAGAGUGGAAUUCCAUGUGUAGCGGUGAAAUGCGUAGAUAUAUGGAGGAACACCAGUGGCGAAGGCGGCUCUCUGGUCUGUAACUGACGCUGAGGCUCGAAAGCGUGGGUAGCAAACAGG
rnacentral:rRNA from 1 species